rnacentral:lncRNA from 1 species
AGAUACAUGAAUCUAACAAAGAUAGACAAGAAGCCUUUUCAAUUUAAUAUAAUUCUUGAAUGGAAACACAGAAAAGUAAUUACCCUAAAAGAAGGGCCAUGAAACUGAUUAAAUAACUGAGAUAAUGCUUGGCAAUACUGUUUACCAUGUCAAGCAAGAGCAGAGUAGGAAAAGGUUAUCCCAUGGCGCUUCAUGGACAAGGUAAAGGAAAGAAUUUGUCCAGAAAGGAACCUCUCUAUGAGAGAAAGUAGGGGCAUUAUGGGAAAUUCACUCUAUCUAAUUAAUAAAAGUCCCAUCCCACCAUCUCCCCUUCAAGUGAGUACCCAAGCAGCCACUGCAACAUCACAGCACAGCAGCCAUUCAACCCCCCCUCCCUCCCUUUCU